rnacentral:rRNA from 1 species
CAAUAGCGUAUAUUAAAGUUGUUGCGGUAAAAAAGCUCGUAGUUGGAUUUCUACCGAAGAUAGCCGGUCGGGUCUUCGACCUUGUAUCUAGUUUUGUCUUUGGUAUCCUCAUAGGGAACGUUUCUGCGCUUUAUUGCGUGGUGCGGUAUCUAUGACUUUUACUUUGAGGAAAUUAGAGUGUUCACGGCAGGCAAACGCCUUGAAUAUAUUAGCAUGGAAUAAUAACAUAGGAUCUUCGUCCUAUUUUGUUGGUUUCUAGGGCUAAGAUAAUGAUUAAUAGGGAUAAUUGGGGGCAUCUGUAUCAACGCGUCAGAGGUGGAAUUCUUGGAUUGCGUUGCGACAAACUACUGCGAAAGCAUUUGCCAAGGAUGUUUUCAUUGA